CCUACGGGGGGCUGCAGUAGGGAAUAUUGCUCAAUGGGGGAAACCCUGAAGCAGCAACGCCGCGUGGAGGAUGAAGGUUUUCGGAUUGUAAACUCCUUUUGUUAGAGAAGAUAAUGACGGUAUCUAACGAAUAAGCACCGGAUAACUCCGUGCCAGCAGCCGCGGUAAUACGGAGGGUGCAAGCGUUAAUCGGAAUCACUGGGCGUAAAGAGCGCGUAGGCGGGAUAGCAAGUCAGAUGUGAAAUACUAUGGCUUAACCAUAGAACUGCAUUUGAAACUGUUAUUCUAGAGUAUGGGAGAGGUAGGUGGAAUUCUUGGUGUAGGGGUAAAAUGCGUAGAGAUCAAGAGGAAUACUCAUUGCGAAGGCGACCUGCUAGAACAUAACUGACGCUGAGGCGCGAAAGCGUGGGGAGCAAACAGGAUUAGAUACCCCAGUAGUC
rnacentral:rRNA from 1 species